AGGCCCAUAGCUUAAUGGUCAAAGCAACGGACUCAUAAUCCGUAGACUGAGGGUUCGAAUCCCUCUGGGCCCA
rnacentral:tRNA from 1 species